GUUACAAGCGAGUGUGAGCAUGCCUGUCAGGACCCGAAAGAUGGUGAACUAUGCCUGAGCGGGGCGAAGCUAGAGGAAACUCUGGCGGAGGCCCGCAGCGAUACUGACGUGCAAAUCGUUCGUCUGACUUGGGUAUAGGGGCGAAAGACUAAUCGAACCAUCUAGUAACUGGUUCCCUCCGAAGUUUCCCUCAGGAUAGUUGGAGCUCAGAAACGAGUUCUAUCGGGUAAACCCAAUGAUUAGAGGCUUCAGGGAUGCAAUGUCCGUCCUGUGUGUCCUGGCGGACACCCACGGACGUCCUGUGUGUACUGAACAGACAGCCCACGUGGGCCAAAAUCACCCAAACAGUCCAAGGGAAGGGCCAGCGUGCUGAGUCCAAGGACACACGUGCUGAUA
rnacentral:ncRNA from 1 species